rfam:Myotis lucifugus cont2.46, whole genome shotgun sequence.
GGCGGUUUUUGGGUGACACACCCCAGAAUUGGGCUCCCUCCUCUCUGGUUCUGGGGUGCGUCACCUGAGAACCACC